CACGUAGUUAGCCGUGGCUUUCUGGUUAAGUACCGUCACCUCAAGGCCAGUUACUACCUCAAGUGUUCUUCCUUAACAACAGAGUUUUACGAGCCGAAACCCUUCAUCACUCACGCGGCGUUGCUCCGUCAGACUUGCGUCCAUUGCGGAAGAUUCCCUACUGCUGCCUCCCGUAGGAGUCUGGGCCGUGUCUCAGUCCCAGUGUGGCCGAUCCACCCUCUCAGGUCGGCUAUGCAUCGUCGCCUUGGUGAGCCACUAUCUCACCAACUAGCUAAUGCACCGCACGGCCCAUCCAUGAGCGGACAGAUAAACUCCGUACCUUUUAAACUUAACUGCUUAUGCGAAGGAAGUCGUAUCCGGUAUUAGCUUACCGUUUCCGGUAGUUACUCCCAAUCUACGAAGGGUUAGGUUCGCCUUACGUGUUACUCCGACCCGUCCGCCGUCUCGAUUCAGUGAGGAG
rnacentral:rRNA from 1 species